AUUUGACGUUAGCGACAGAAGAAGCACCGGCUAACUCCGUGCCAGCAGCCGCGGUAAUACGGAGGGUGCGAGCGUUAAUCGGAAUUACUGGGCGUAAAGCGCAUGCAGGUGGUUUGUUAAGUCAGAUGUGAAAGCCCGGGGCUCAACCUCGGAAUUGCAUUUGAAACUGGCAGACUAGAGUACUGUAGAGGGGGGUAGAAUUUCAGGUGUAGCGGUGAAAUGCGUAGAGAUCUGAAGGAAUACCGGUGGCGAAGGCGGCCCCCUGGACAGAUACUGACACUCAGAUGCGAAAGCGUGGGGAGCAAACAGGAUUAGAUACCCUGGUAGUCCACGCCGUAAACGAUGUCUACUUGGAGGUUGUGGCCUUGAGCCGUGGCUUUCGGAGCUAACGCGUUAAGUAGACCGCCUGGGGAGUACGGUCGCAAGAUUAAAACUCAAAUGAAUUGACGGGGGCCCGCACAAGCGGUGGAGCAUGUGGUUUAAUUCGAUGCAACGCGA
rnacentral:rRNA from 1 species